rnacentral:rRNA from 1 species
AUUGAACGCUGGCGGCAGGCCUAACACAUGCAAGUCGAACGAGUGGCGGACGGGUGAGUAAUGUCUGGGAAACUGCCUGAUGGAGGGGGAUAACUACUGGAAACGGUAGCUAAUACCGCAUACCAUCGGAUGUGCCCAGAUGGGAUUAGCUAGUAGGUGGGGUAACGGCUCACCUAGGCGACGAUCCCUAGCUGGUCUGAGAGGAUGACCAGCGACACGGGAACUGAGAAACGGUCCAGACUCUAACGGGAGGAAGCAGUGGGGAAUAUUGCAGAAUGGGCGAAAGCCUGAUAGAGCCAUGCCGGGUGUAUGAAGAAGGCCUUAGGGUUGUAAAGUACUUUCAGCGGGGAGGCGUUAGCGGAAGAAGAAGCGCCGGCUAACUCCGUGCCAGCAGCCGCGGUAAUAC